CAUACCCUAUUCGAGGGAUAGGGUCGGUUCGGCCGGAUUUUACACAAGUGUUGCAUGGCUGUCGUCAGCUCGUGUCGUGAGAUGUUGGGUUAAGUCCCGCAACGAGCGCAACCCUCAUCCUUAGUUGCUAUCAGGUAAUGCUGAGUACUUUAAGGAAACUGCCAGUGAUAAGCUGGAGGAAGGUGGGGAUGAUGUCAAGUCAUCAUGGCCUUUAUGGAGUGGGCUACACACGUGCUACAAUGGUGUCUACAAUGGGCUGCAAGGUGCGCAAGCCUAAGCUAAUCCCUAAAAGACAUCUCAGUUCGGAUUGUACUCUGCAACUCGAGUACAUGAAGUUGGAAUCGCUAGUAAUCGUGGAUCAGCAUGCCACGGUGAAUACGUUCUCGGGUCUUGUACACACUGCCCGUCACGCCAUGGGAAUUGGUUUCCUCCAAAAGCU
rnacentral:rRNA from 1 species